UUGCCUUUUUUAUUUGUGUAUGAUACCUUUUGUUAUAUAGAAAUUUAAAUAUUUGGGGUAGCUAAUUUAUUUUUCAUUUUUGUCUCUUGCAUUAUAUCUCCAAGGUUUUAAAUACAUUCUCCUUACUGUAUUUUCUUCUAAUAAUUUAAAAGUUUUGUCGGGCGUGGUGGCUCACACCUAUAAUCCCAGCACUUUGUGAGGCUGAGGCAGGUGGAUCACGAGGUCAAGAGAUUGAGACCAUCCUGGUCAACAUGGUGAAACCCGUCUCUACUAAAAAUACAAAAAAUUAGCUGGGCAUGGUGGCGUGUGCCUGUAGUCCCAGCUACUCAGGAGGCUGAGGGAGGAGAAUUGCCUGAACCCAGGAGGCGGAGGUUGCGGUGAGCCGAGAUCGCGCCAUUGCACUCCAGUCUGGGUAACAAGAGUGAAACUCCAUCUCAAAAAAUAAUAAUAAAAGUUUUACUUUUCAAUUUAAAUUUUAUUUCAUCUAGAAUUUACUUAUUGAGUGAGUGAGGUAGGGUGAGUAAGCUUAUUUACUUGCCACAAUAAAAUUUAUUAUAAAGGUCAUUCUUUUCUCAUUGAUUUAAAAGUCUCUUUCUGACCCAGUGUUGUGUUCUAAAGAAAUUUUAUUGUCUCUUGCUGUCCUCAUGUCACACUGUUUUAAUUACUGUAGGUUUGUAGUCAUUUAUAUCUUUAUGUUGAUAUCUGCUAGGCCAAAUCCUCUCUUACCAGCCUUUUACAAUCAUUUCUUGGCUAUUCUUGCAUAUUUUCUUUUCCAGAUAAAUUUUGCAAUCAGCUUGCCACAUUUCAUAAAAAUUCUCCUAGGAUUUUGCUUUUAAUGUAUUGACUAAUUUUGGACAGAAUUGACAUCACUACAGUUUUCUUAUCCAAGAACAUUGUUUUUUGUCUCUCCAAUCCAGGUCUUUUACUUUGUCCUGACCAUAUGGCUCCUCUCCGUUUAAUAUGUUAAUAAAAUGAUUUAUAUUAAUGUAUUUUUUCCCUGAUGUUGAAUUAUCUUUGUAUUUCUGGGAUAAACCCUUCUUUUUUUUUAUUCUUGUCAUGGCUACUGAAUUGAUUUCAGAUGAGCUGAUGUGCUUUGGCUCCUGGGCUCCCUCUGGUGGCCAUCAGGCCCUUCUCUGUGACCUUUGAGGAUGGGGUUUGGUACAGUUGUCUAAUCCUGGACUCCAGGGCUCAGGCCCAGGCAUUUCCCUAUGGCAGCAAGAUCAUAGAUCUAAGAAUCUGGUAGGCAUAGAAUCUGUGUGCCCGAGUUAUAUGACCAUCUGUAUUGCCUCGUUGGGUUCUGUUAGCGUCUCUUUGCUAGGAGACCCUGAGGAAAGAGACCAUAUCUGUGUUAAAAGAAUCUACUCUCUCAGAAUCCAAAAGUCCAUUCACUCAUCUGUCCCUUUCUCUAAGAUUUAUCAUUAUUUCAUUUUAAAUGAGGGAAAACUCUCAAAUACAGUUUCACUUUUAUGAAUCUGGAUGGCUUUUUUUUAAUAUCAGUAAACUUAUAAAUCAGAAACUUAUGUCCCAAAUUUGGUCUAAAAAGUAAGAUCUUGCAUCUCUGGUAUUUUGAUAGAGAUUGCAUUUAAUUUGUAGGUCACUUUGGUAGUAUGGCCAUUUUCACAAUAUUAAUUCUUUCCAUCCAUGAGCAUGAGGUGUUUUCUAUUUUUUGUGUGUGCUCUUCUGUUUCUUUCAUCAAUGUUUAAUAGUUUUCCUUGCAGAGCUCUUUUAUCUUCUUAGCUAAAUUUAUUCCUAGGUAUUUUAGAAAAUAAAUUCCUAACAGUACUGAAAAGCAAGAGAAAGUGCUACCAGCCAACAAGAAAUGUUCAGGAAUUCCUGAAAAAUGGUAAGCAGAUGAGAUUGAAUUGUUGGAAGAAACCACAGCCAAAGGAAGGGACUACUGCAGUAAGGGGAGUGGUUCUGGAGGCAUUCUUAGUUCACAGGCAACUGCUACAAGGAAAAGAAGAAAGGACCUGAGGCAACCAUCAUGCUGACUGAUUAGGGAUCCUAACUUGCUGUGGGCAGGCUGAGGCAGUGAGCAUCAGAGAUAUUUGCCCUUAAGUGGAGUCAGUCACUGCCAAUGCUUGAACUUGAAACUCAGAGAAAUCUCUGAAGGAAUGAGGAGCACAGACAAUAUCCUCCCAUUAUAAUUUCUGGAGACAGUAAAUGGAAACCACAUCCAGAGACAGACCAAUAUGGAAUAUGGAAUCUUAACUAAAAAGAGAAGCCUGCCAAUAAGGAUAAGCAUACGCUGCAUUUGAAUGAAAGCUCUGAAAGAUGGCGGCGGCCAGGGCUGAGGCUCGAGGAGCUUGGUGUGUGCCUUGCCUAGUUUAACUUGUUACUGUUCAGGAAUUAUGUAGAAAAGAAGAGCUCACAUGUAAAUUGAUUGGAAUCACCAAAGGGAAUCUAAACAACUAUGAGGUGGAAUACCUGUGUGACUACAAGGUAGUAAAGGAUAUGGAAUAUUAUCUUGUAAAAUGGAAAGGAUGGCCAGAUUCUACAAAUACUUGGGAACCUUUGGAAAAUCUCAAGUGUCCAUUACUGCUUUAGCAAUUCUCUAAUGACAAGCAUAAUUAUUUAUCUCAGGUGAAGAAAGGCAAAGCAGUAACUCCAAAAGACAAUAACAAAACUUUGAAACUUGCCAUUGCCGUGUAGUGAAGAAGGCUAAACAAAGGAUAGCUCUGCAGAGGUGGCAAGAUGAACUCAACAGAAGGCAGAAUCAGAAAGGACCGAUAUUUGUUGAAAAUACUGUUGAUUUAGAAGGCCCACCUUCAGAAUUUUACUACCUUAAUAAAUACAAACCAUCUCCUGGAAUCAGCUUAGUCAAUGAAGCUACCUUUGGUUGUUCAUGCAGAUUGCUUCUUUGAAAAAUGUUGUCCUGCUGAAGUUGGAGUUCUUUUGGCUUAUAAUAAAAACCAACAAAUUAAAAUCCCACCUGGUAAUCCCAUCUAUAAAUGCAACUCAAGGUGUCAGUGAGGACCUGAUUGUCCCAGUAGGAUUGUACAAAAAGGCACAUGGUAUUCGCUUUGCAUCUUUUGAACUAGCAAUGGUUGUGGCUGGGAUGUAAAGACCCUUGCGAAGAUUAAAAGAAUGAGUUUUGGCCGGGCGCGGUGGCUCACGCCUAUAAUCCCAGCACUUUGGGAGGCCGAGGCGGGUGGAUCACGAGGUCAAUAGAUCGAGACCAUCUUGGUCAAGGUGAAACCCCGUCUCUACUAAAAACACAAAAAUUAGCUGGGCAUGGUGGCGCGCGCCUGUAGUCCCAGCUACUUGGGAGGUUGAAACAGGAGAAUUGCUUGAACCCAGGAGGCAGAGGUUGCAGUGAGCCGAGAUCGUGCCAUUGCACUCUAGCCUGGGUAACAAGAGUGAAACUCCAUCUCAAAAAAAAAAAAGAAUGAGUUUUGUCCUGGAAUAAGUUGGAGAGGUACUCACAAGUGAAGAAGCUGAAAAACGGGGACAGUUAUGUGACAACAAGGGAAUCACGUAUCUCUUUGAUCUGGACUAUCAAUCUGAUGAAUUCACAGUGGAUGCGGCUCCAUACGGCAAUGUAUCUCAUUUUGUGAAUCACAGCUGUGACUGAAUCUUCAGGUGUUCAAUGUUUACACUGAUAACCUCAAUACUUGUCUUCCCCGAAUAGCACUGUUUUCUACGAGAACCAUAAAUGCUGGAGAAGAGCUGACCUUUGAUUAUCAAAAUGAAAGAUUUUGGAGAUACAUCUUCAGAUUCUGUUGACCACAAUCCAGCCAAAAAGAGGGUCAGAACUGUAUGUAAAUGUGGAGCUGUGACUUGCAAAAAUUACUUCAACUGAAUUUUCAGGAAAUAGAGCUGAUGAUACCUACAAUUUUUUUUGCUAAUGUUAACAUUUAAAAAAAUACACAUUUGGGACUCUUAUUAUCAAGAUUGUACCUAUGUUAAUUUACAAUUCAUGUUUCAAGACAUUUGCCAAAUGUAUUACUGAUGCCUCUGAAGAGAGGGUCACUGGGUCUCAUAGACUUGUUUGAAAUCUACAUAUUUAGUGCUUAGAGACCAAACUAAUGGAAGGCAAACUAUUCACAGCUCAGUAUGUGUGUACCUACGUCUAUGUAAACAGAGAAAUGCCUCCCGCAGUGUUCGAAAGUGUUAAGCUGAUAAUGUAAUUAACAAUUACUGAGAGAUCAAACAUUCAACUUGUCAUACACCUCAAAUUUGGAGAAGUAGAGUUAAUUUGGGCAAAUCUACCAGUUCUGUUUUUGCUACUAUAUUGUCACUCCUGUUUAAGACUCACUGUACUUAUAUUUGAGACAAACGGGUGAUACUGAAUUUUAUGCUCUAUUUUCUACCUUUUCAUUAAAACAUUGGCAUCU